UACGUAGGGACCAAGCGUUGUUCGGAUUCACUGGGCGUAAAGGGUGCGUAGGCGGCUUUGCAAGUCUGAUGUGAAAUCUCCGGGCCCAACCCGGAAACGGCAUUAGAAACUGCGGGGCUAGAGGCUUGGAGGGGGAACUGGAAUGCUCGGUGUAGCAGUGAAAUGCGUAGAGAUCGAGCGGAACACCAGUGGCGAAGGCGAGUUCCUGGACAAGACCUGACGCUGAGGCACGAAAGCCAGGGGAGCAAACAGG
rnacentral:rRNA from 1 species